UAUGCUGUAAGUCAUAAGUCAAAAUAAAGACACAGGAUGAGGCAGCAACGUUUGCUAUGUUUGUGUGCUUUUAAUAUUUGGACAUGUUUUAUGCAUCUACAGUGUUCUACAGAGCUGUCGCCACACUGUGUGGGUCACUUAGAUCUGUUGAACGCUGCCUUUCUACGUCUUUAAUAUAAACAGGACAAAAGAAGAGAACCUGACAAUAAAGCCUCACAAAUCAGGCUGCGCCUUCAUAUAAACAUCAGUGUGUCAACUACAAACAAGCUGUUUGGUCCCUCAUUUGAGCAAAUUCAUUUCCAAAGAAGUGAGGAGACAACUGAUGUGAGUAGAAGGAAGCUUGUUUUGUUUAUGGCUGCUGAAGAGGUGGCUUUUGUUGUGGAUACAGUGGCGGUUGAUCCUCCGGUGGUAGUUGCUCCGGUGGUAGUUGAUCCUCCGGUGGUAGUUGAUCCCCCGGUGGUAGUUGAUCCCCCGGUCGUAGUUGCUCCGGUGGUAGUUGUUGCUCCGGUCGUAGUUGCUCCGGUCGUAGUUGCUCCUGUGGUCAUGGCCACUGUGGUGUUGGUUGCUCCUGUGGUAGUUGUUGCUCCGGUGGUAGUUGAUUCCGUGGUCAUGGCCACUGUGGUGGUGGCUGGAGGAACUGUUGUUAAAGUCUGUGUGUUGCCUGAGGCUGUUCAGCAACGACAGAUAUGAUAGUAAAGUGGCUUUUCAUUCCAUUGAAAACAUGAAGCUUUAUUGAUAACAAAUAAUAAUAAUUAAUUUUAACUUACCAACAAACAGCAGGAGAAGAACAAUACAGGUUUUCAUCAUCAUUGUGAAAAAAAAUUGCUAUGGAAAUAAAAAAGUCAGUUUUAAUUAUAAGAUCA
rnacentral:lncRNA from 1 species